rnacentral:lncRNA from 1 species
GUGUCAUCAGGAAAAUACAAAUGAGAACCAAAUCCACAUUUACUAGAAAGGCUAAAAUGUGAACGAAUUGGCAAUACAAAGUGUUAGUAGAGUGAAACAUCUAGAAUCCUCAAAGACUGUUGGUAGAAGGGCAAAAUGGUAAAAUUGUUUUGGAAGCAGUUUUGUAGUUUCUUGUCAAGUUGACCAUGAUUGUAUUAUAUUUGUCAUGAAUUGUGCUUUAAGAGUAUUUAAUGGCUUAAAAUACAAGUAAUUUCUUUCUUUCAUCUCUUAUGGUUUCUGUGGGUCAGAAGUUGAGACAGGGCACAGUAGAAGGUAGUCUCCGCCACAUCUGGGCAGAGCUGGAAGACUGUGAAGCUGGAGGAAUCGUCAGAGGCUGUUCAUUCACAGGACUAGUAAGUUGAUGUUGGUGUUGGCUGGGGGCCAUCAUCUGAAAUACCCGUAUAUGGAUGUUUCAUGUGACCAGGGCUUCUUCACAGCACAGUGCCUGGGUUUGCUAGGCAGGAUUCCACAGAAAGGAGCAAGAGGAAUGGAAAGAGGGGGCAGGAGAGAGAUCCCUGAAGGCAGGGAUCAUGUGUUACCCAUUUUUAAAUCAUCACAAUGUCUUCAACCUUAUAAGCAAUCCUAUUGUUUGACUAGCACAUUUUUCAAAACAGGUUUGUUAGUCUGUGUUAUGAUUAAUUUUGUGUGUUGGACCACAGUGUCUAUAUAUUGGGUCAAACAUUAUCCUGAUUGUGUCUGUGAAGAUGUUUUUGGAUGACACUAACAUUUAAAUUGGUGAACUAUGUAGUAAAGCAGACUACCCUUUAUAAUGUGGGUCAGCUUCAUGCAAUCACUUAAAGGCCUAAAUAGAACAACACCCCCACCCCCACCCCAGGCCAGAGGGAAAUUCAGGCAUUCCACCAGCACAAGUUUUUUGGGCUUGAAGGACAACACUGGCUCUUUUCUGGGUCUCUAGCCGGCUAGCAUACCCAGGAAAUUUUG